CAAUAGCGUAUAUUUAAGUUGCUGCAGUUAAAAAGCUCGUAGUUGGAUUUCGGGUGGGAAUGGCCGGUCCGCCGUUUCGGUGUGCACUUGCUACGCCCACCUUGCUGCCGGGGACGUGCUCUUGAGUUCACGCUCGGGACACGGAGUCGGCGAGGUUACUUUGAGUAAAUUAGAGUGUUCAAAGCAGGCCUACGCUCUGAAUACAUUAGCAUGGAAUAACACGAUAGGACUCUGGCCUAUCUUGUUGGUCUGUGGGACCGGAGUAAUGAUUAAGAGGGACAGUCGGGGGCAUUCGUAUUUCAUUGUCAGAGGUGAAAUUCUUGGAUUUAUGAAAGACGAACUACUGCGAAAGCAUUUGCCAAGGAUGUUUUCAUUAA
rnacentral:rRNA from 1 species